rnacentral:rRNA from 1 species
UAUUGGGACAUAUAGCAUCCGGUGGAUGCCUAGGUGUACUCGGAACGAACUUUAUGUUGAUCAGAUGAAACAUAAGUAACAACCCAACACCAUAACGUUGGAAUACCGUCAACACAGGGAACUGAAACAUCUUAGUACCUGUAGGAAAAGAAAUAAUAUAGAUUUCGUGAGUAGCAGCGAGCGAAACCGAAUCAGGCAGCCACAUACGAUUUGUUUGUAAUGUUCGUCUGGAACGACGAGUCAACAUGGUGAUAACCCACUAAUUACAACAUUUUGUUGUGCAAUGAAGUAAGACGAGCCAUGACAAGCUCGUCCGAAGAUAGGGGAACCACCCUCUAAGCCUAAACACCGAGUCUACAACCGAUAGUGAACUAGUACCGUGAGGGAAAGGUGAAAUAGAUGUCCGAACAGGAUAGUGAAACAGAUCCUGAAACCGGAUGCUAACAAGCAGUCGGAGGGUCCAAAGACCUGACGACGUACCUUUUGCAUAAUGGGUCAACGAGUUACUGUUACAAGCAAAGCCUAAACACAACAAGGCGAAGCGAAAGCAAGUCCACAAAGGGCGGCAAUAAGUUUGUAGCAUUAAACCCGAAACCGAGUGAUCUAACCAUGGACAGAUUGAAGGCUGAUAAACAUCGGCCGAAGGAUCGAACUCGUACGUGUUGCAAAACGUUGGGAUGAUCUGUGGUUAGGGGUGAAAGGCCAAUCAAACUCGGAGAUAGCUGGUUCUCUGCGAAACCUAUGUAGGUAGGUUGUUAGGCCAAGGAUAGAGUAGGGGUAGAGCUACUAGAUAAGAGUAACCAAGUCUUGAUCUUGGCCAAUCUUAACUAAACUCCGAAUACUACCUGUUAUUUACCAAGCAAUCACACCAUGAGCUCUAACGUCCAUGGUGGAGAGGGAAACAACCCAGACCCUAGAUCAAGGUCCUUAAAUCCAUGUUAAGUGAGAAAGGUUAACAACGUUUUGUGCCGGUUAGGAUGUAGGCUUAGAAGCGGCCAUCAUCUAAGGAAAGUGUAACAACUCACUAACCUCUAUAACGUUGUGGCCGAAAAUGUAACGGGACUAAACAUGGUACCGAAGUCAAGGGGCAUUGCAUCAGCAAUGCGGUAGCAGAGCAUUCUGUAAGGCAUGGAAGGUCAGUCGUGAGGCUUACUGGAGCCACCAGAAGUGAGAAUGUUGACAUGAGUAACGAUAAUUGAAAGUAAAAACCUUUCACACCGAAAGGUUAAGGUUUCCUGUUUGAAGUCGAUCUGAACAGGGUUAGCCGGUUCCUAAGGUAAAGCGCAAGCGCAUAGCCGAUGGUAACUACGUUAAUAUUCGUAGGCCAAUUCUGAAUGACCUGUUAUUAUGCCCAAGGGAACAACAGGCUUAGACCCUUGGGCCGAUCUAACAGCAAGAAAAAGUUCAGAUGAUUGACCGUACCUCAAACCGACACUGGUAACCAGGUAGAGUAUACUAAGGUGUUUGAGAUAACUAUGUUGAAGGAACUCGGCAAAUUGUAUGUGUAACUUCGGAAGAAACAUAACCCGUUGGCAUACCCAAUGGGUGUAACUGAAAUGGGGAAGGCGACUGUUUAUCAAAAACACAGGACUCUGCAAAAUCGUAAGAUGACGUAUAGAGUCUGACACCUGCCCGGUGCUGAUAAGCAAAAUCCCAAGUAUGUCUAACACACAUGCUGAAGUAUAAACACCAGUAAACGGCGGCCGUAACUAUAACGGUCCAAAGGUAGCGAAACCCCUUGUCGGGUAAGUUCCGACCUGCAUGAAUGGUGUAACGACCUUCCCGCUGUCUCCAACAUAGACUCAGUGAAAUUGAAAUCCUCGUGAAGAUGCGAGGUACUUACGGCAAGACGGAAAGACCCCGUGCACCUUUACUGCAACCUUGUAUUGCCAACGGCAUGUUGUCCGUGUAGAGUAAAUGGCUGGCGAUGACCCCCUUGUUCAGGCAGGGGUCGAGCCCUCAAUGAAACACCAUUCGAACAACAUCUCAUGGCUAUACUUCAGCCUUGCCAAUCAAGGUGAAGAACAUUGCAAGGCGGGUAGUUUGACUGGGACGGUCACCUCCUAAAGAGUAACAGAGGUGUGCAUAAGGUAGGCUCAUGACGUUUGGAAAUCGUCAGUAGAGUACAAUGGCAUAUGCCUGCCGAAGACUGCGAGACAGACACGUCGAGCAGAGACGAAAGUCGGUCAUAGUGAUCCAACACAACCGUGUGGAAGGAGUGUUGCACAACGGAUAAAAGGUACGCCGGGGAUAACAGGCUAAUAGCUCCCAAGAGCUCUUAUCGACGGAGCUGUUUGGCACCUCGAUGUCGACUCAUCGCAUCCUGGGGCUGAACAAGGUCCCAAGGGUAUGGCUGUUCGCCAUUUAAAGCGGUACGUGAGUUGGGUUCAGAACGUCGCAAGACAGUUCGGUCCCUAUCUGCCGUAAUGCACAAGGGUAUUGACAAGACCUGUCUCCAGUACGAGAGGACCGAGAUGGACAUACCUCUGGUCUACCUGUUGUCGUUGCCAACGGCAUAGCAGGGUAGCUAAGUAUGGAAUAGAUAACAGCUGAAUACAUCUAAGCCGGAAGCUAACUUGAAGACUGAUACCCUAUUAAGAACCGUGACAGAUUAUCACGUUGAUAGGUCAAGUGUGUAAGUGCGGCAACGCACUCAGCUAAUUGAUACUAAUCGUUCGAAACCAUCAAAAC